ACCUGUUUCUUUAUGAAGUGCUGGCAACCAUCUUGGAUUCCUCGCUUUGAGUGCGAAUGCCCGCUCGUUACUCCGAAAGAAACUUGUGGAACAUUAAUAUCCGAACAGAAAUAAAAACAUUUGUGAAGGUUUUUUUUGCUGCAUUGUCUUUGACGCUGGAUAAAGGAGGACGUGCUGUGGUAUGUUACGGACUUUUGAACUGGAACAGCUAACGCUCUGCACUUGGCUAGCUGCAUACCGCCUUUGCAGCAAUUUUGUCUUCAGGAGCGCUUUUGUGUCUGUCUUGUCUUCUGUGUUUUACUGUUAUGUCCGUGCAGGGGCAGAAGUAAAUUUUCAGGGGUGAAGAUGCUGUUCACCUUGACCAUCACAUUGUAGAUGAAGUCGAGAAAAGUGAAAAGAAUCCUGUCCUCAUUACAAAGCUGAUGCACACAACUUUGGCCUUGCGAUGCAAAGAGAUCAUCAAUGAUCACCUACCAGUAGGUCAGAUCCUGAAUCGCUGGCCUACUCUGAAAUCCCAGUCCCAGAUCUGUGCAGAAUUCCACAGGAUUACAAACCUCGACCUGAAGAACCACUUUUAUGCUGUGUUGGACCAAAAUGCUCCCCGGCUCCAGAGCUUAUUCAGAAAGAAAGCUGUUUGCACAGGGAACGUGUCUGAUGUCCUGUCUCAGUUCUUCAGAAGCUAGAAUCUCCAGGAACAAGCUGAUAUCCAUGCCCAACGUGCUGGUGUGCUUCAUGCCCUCCCUGCCUAUUUGUACGAAGACGCCUCUACCUUCAUCAAAACGUGGGAUAUGAUGCAUACUGAUAGACCAGAUAUUAGUGAAGUGCCACUUGGACUCCUCCUGAUCAGAGCCAAUUCCAGUGAUGCAACAUUCUUCUGCCCUGAGAAGACUGCAGUUUUGGUCGAGGGUAACAUGAUCAUUGAUUUCACCACCCUGGCUGAUGCAUUUCUAGUAAUAUUUGGACUGACCUACGCCCUGCACCUAAGCUACCCAAAAUGUUUGGCCACCAUUUUUGACUUUAUUCAGAAAGUUUUGAUGGGUCUGGAGGGUGGGAAGUUGAAGCCCAAAGUGCUGAGUCUUAAAAAUGAUCUUUUGGCAGCAGAAUAAUGUCCAGGAUUCCUACACAGCUCUCAAGUGCUUGUUAAAGCAAGUAAUUCAGUUUAUCAUGUUUCCAAGUCAGGAUAAGUUUAAAAAAAAAAGAGAGAGAGAGAGAAGUAAAAGGCCUGAUUUUUUUUUCUUUUUGUUUAUUUCCCCAUCAUCACUUGUGUUUUAGUUGAUUUUGAUUGUGUUUUUAGUCAGAUAACUGUAAAUCCAUACAGAAAAUGAAGGACAAUCUCACUACAUUUCUGGCUUCUAGGUGGGAUCUUGAAUGUCACUUAAGGAACGUUCCUCCUGAACUACUCAUAACUGACAUAAGGCGCUAAGGAGGUUUAUAACACUUUGUUUUAUGUUUCUAAAGAAGUAUUUUUCUAUUUAAAGUUUUAUUGCUCUGUUGUUGAGACUGUGAUUGCACUCUACAAAUGUGCAUUUUGCAUAACAACAGUAUUGGCAUAUUAAAAAGGUUACCAAUUAUAUUUCAGUGUAUUAGCUGCACUAUACAGUAAUUUACUUUCAUUCAGUUUUCCCACCUAAUAAUGCAGGAUUUUCUUUUCCUUUUGUUUUUUUAAUAAAAAGGCCACACUCAUGUGUUAAUCAAAUCUGAAUACUCUUAAAACAUGUUGUGAAAUUCUUUAUUUCUAAUAUUGUAACCUUGUGCCAAAACUGGACAUGUCUGAUGCAUUUAUGUCUUUGGGCUUUUUGUCAGAAAAGCUAUGUGUUAAAGUAACUCAAUAAAUUUGUAACUUGAAUUUA